AGUGAACGCUGGCGGUAGGCCUAACACAUGCAAGUCGAACGAGUGGCGGACGGGUGAGGAAUACAUCGGAACCUACUCUGUAGUGGGGGAUAACGUAGGGAAAAUUACGCUAAUACCGCAUACGAUUGAAUGAGCCGCUGUCGGAUGAGCUAGUUGGCGGGGUAAAGGCCCACCAAGGCGACGAUCCGUAGCUGGUCUGAGAGGAUGAUACGCCACACUGGAACUUAGACACGGUCCAGACGCCUACGGGAGGGAGCAGUGGGGAAUAUUGGACAAUGGGCGCAAGCCGGAUCCAGGCAUACCGCGUGGGUGAAGAAGGCCUUAGGGUUGUAAAGCCCUUUUGUUGGGAAAGCGGUACCCAAAGAAUAAGCACCGGCUAACUUCGUGCCAGCCGCCGCGGUAAUAC
rnacentral:rRNA from 1 species